GUGCCAGCAGCCGCGGUAAUACGUAGGGUGCAAGCGUUAAUCGGAAUUACUGGGCGUAAAGCGUGCGCAGGCGGUUUUGUAAGUCUGUCGUGAAAUCCCCGGGCUCAACCUGGGAAUUGCGAUGGAGACUGCAAGGCUAGAAUCUGGCAGAGGGGGGUAGAAUUCCACGUGUAGCAGUGAAAUGCGUAGAGAUGUGGAGGAACACCGAUGGCGAAGGCAGCCCCCUGGGUCAAGAUUGACGCUCAUGCACGAAAGCGUGGGGAGCAAACAGGAUUAGAUACCCUGGUAGUCC
rnacentral:rRNA from 1 species